rnacentral:rRNA from 1 species
UACGAAGGGGGCUAGCGUUGUUCGGAAUCACUGGGCGUAAAGCGCACGCAGGCGGAUUGAUAAGUCAGGGGUGAAAUCCCGGAGCUCAACUUCGGAAUUGCCUUUGAUACUGUCUGUCUUGAGUCCGGGAGAGGUGAGUGGAAUUCCUAGUGUAGAGGUGAAAUUCGUAGAUAUUCGCAAGAACACCAGUGGCGAAGGCGGCUCACUGGCCCGAUACUGACGCUGAGGCACGAAAGCGUGGGGAGCAAACAGG